GCUGGGCACGGUGGCACAUGCCUAUAGUCCCAGCUACUCAGGAGGCUGAGGUGGGAGGAUCUCUUGAGCCCAGGAGAUCUGGGCUGUAGUGCGCUCUGCCAAUCGGGUGUCCACAAUAAGAUUGGCAUCAAUAGGGUGACCUCCCGAGAGCGGGGGACCAUCAGGUUGCCUAAGGAGGGGUGAACUGGCCCAGGUCAGAAACGGAACAGGUCACAACUCCCGUGCUGAUCAGUAGUGGGAUCGCGCCUGUGAAUAGCCACUGCACUCCAGCCUGGGCAACAUAGCAAGACCCCGUCUCU
rnacentral:SRP_RNA from 1 species